rnacentral:rRNA from 1 species
UCUAACCUACGGGGCGCAGCAGUGGGGAAUAUUGCACAAUGGGGGAGACCCUGAUGCAGCAACGCCGCGUGAGUGAAGAAGUAUUUCGGUAUGUAAAGCUCUAUCAGCAGGGAAGAAAAUGACGGUACCUGAGUAAGAAGCCCCGGCUAACUACGUGCCAGCAGCCGCGGUAAUACAUAGGGGGCAAGCGUUAUCCGGAUUUACUGGGUGUAAAGGGAGCGUAGACGGCUGUACAAGUCUGAAGUGAAAGCCCGUGGCUCAACCGCGGAACUGCUUUGGAAACUGCAAAGCU